UGGUAACCUACCUCAAAGAGGGAAUAACCUCCCGAAAGGGAGAUUAAUACCGCAUAAUAUGUUUAGGUCGCAUGACUUAAACAUCAAAG
rnacentral:rRNA from 1 species